GUAGCCUGCGAAAAGCUACGGGGAGCUGGCAAACGAGCUUUGAUCCGUAGAUGUCCGAAUGGGGAAACCCACUCCGAAUGGAGUAUCCAUGACUGAAUCCAUAGGUCAUGUGAGGCGAACGCGGUGAACUGAAACAUCUAAGUAACCGCAGGAAAAGAAAUCAACCGAGAUUCCCAAAGUAGUGGCGAGCGAAAUGGGACCAGCCUGCAUUCUUUAUCUGAACUGUUAGCUGAACGCUCUGGAAAGUGCGGCCAUAGCGGGUGAUAGCCCCGUAAGCGAAAACAGAUUGGAAGAACUAGGUAUGCGAGAAGUAGGGCGGGACACGUGAAAUCCUGUCUGAAGAUGGGGGGACCAUCCUCCAAGGCUAAAUACUCGUGAUCGACCGAUAGU
rnacentral:rRNA from 4 species